rnacentral:rRNA from 1 species
GAGGAAUAUUGGUCAAUGGGCGUGAGCCUGAACCAGCCAAGUAGCGUGCAGGAUGACGGCCCUAUGGGUUGUAAACUGCUUUUAUACGGGGAUAAAAGGGUGAACGUGUUCUCCUUUGCAGGUACCGUAUGAAUAAGGACCGGCUAAUUCCGUGCCAGCAGCCGCGGUAAUACGGAAGGUCCUGGCGUUAUCCGGAUUUAUUGGGUUUAAAGGGAGCGCAGGCUGCACUUUAAGCGUGUUGUGAAAUGUACCGGCUCAACCGGUAACGUGCAGCGCGAACUGGGGUGCUUGAGUACGAAGAGGGAAGGCGGAACUCGUGGUGUAGCGGUGGAAUGCUUAGAUAUCACGAGGAACUCCGAUCGCGAAGGCAGCUUUCCGUUUCGGAACUGACGCUGAGGCUCGAAAGUGCGGGUAUCGAACAGGAUUAGAUACCCUGGUAGUCCGCACGGUAAACGAUGGAUGCUCGCUGUUGGAUAUUUUUAUUCAGUGGCUAAGUGAAAACGUUAAGCAUCCCACCUGGGGAGUACGCCGGCAACGGUG